GACAAGGGAAGAGGAUGAAGACAG
rnacentral:piRNA from 1 species